CCUACGGGGUGCAGCAGUGGGGAAUAUUGGACAAUGGGCGAAAGCCUGAUCCAGCCAUGCCGCGUGUGUGAAGAAGGCCUUCGGGUUGUAAAGCACUUUCAGUGGGGAAGAAAGCCUUGGGGCUAAUACCCUCGAGGAAGGACAUCACCCACAGAAGAAGCACCGGCUAACUCCGUGCCAGCAGCCGCGGUAAUACGGAGGGUGCGAGCGUUAAUCGGAAUUACUGGGCGUAAAGCGCGCGUAGGCGGUCUGAUAAGCCGGUUGUGAAAGCCCCGGGCUCAACCUGGGAACGGCAUCCGGAACUGUCAGGCUAGAGUGCAGUAGAGGAAGGUAGAAUUCCCGGUGUAGCGGUGAAAUGCGUAGAGAUCGGGAGGAAUACCAGUGGCGAAGGCGGCCUUCUGGACUGACACUGACGCUGAGGUGCGAAAGCGUGGGUAGCAAACAGGAUUAGAUACCCCAGUAGUC
rnacentral:rRNA from 1 species